GUUACCGGCUGACGGGGGAGGAACACGUGGGCAACCUGCCCUGGAGACGGGGAUAACACCGACAAAUCGGUGCUAAUACCGGAUAACACGAGAGACCGCAUGGUUUUUCGUUGAAACGCGGCGCAAGCUGGCGCUACAGGAUGGGCCCGCGGCGCAUUAUCUAGUUGGUGAGGUAACGGCUCACCAAGGCGACGAUGCGUAGCCGACCUGAGAGGGUGAUCGACCACACUGGGACUGAUACACGCCCCCUACUCCUACGGGAGGCACCAGUAGGUAAUCUUCCGCAAUGGACGAAAGUCUGACGGAGCAACGCCGCGUGAGCGAACAAGGCCUUCCGGACGUAAAGCUCUGUUGAUAGGGAAGAACAAGUACCGCAGUCACUGGCGGUACCUUGACGGUACCUAGGGAGAAAGCCACGGCUAACUACGUGCCAGCAGCCGCGGUAAUACGGUACGUGGCAAGCGUUGUCCGGAAUUAUUGGGCGUAAAGCGCGCGCAGGCGGCUCCUUAAGUCUGAUGUGAAAGCCCACGGCUCAACCGUGUAGGGUCAUUGGAAACUGGGGGACUUGAGUGCAGAAGAGGAGAGCGGAAUUCCACGUGUAGCGGUGAAAUGCGUAGAGAUGUGGAGGAACACCAGUGGGGAAGGCGGCUCUCUGGUUUGUAACUGACGCUGAGGCGCGAAAGCGUGGGGAGCAAACAGGAUUAGAUACCCUGGUAGUGCACGCCGUAAAUGAUGAGUGCUAAGUGUUAGAGGGUAUCCUCCCCUUAGUGCUGUAGCUAACGCAUUAAGCACUCUGCAUGGGGAGUACGCUGGCAAGAGUGAAAGUCAAAGGAAUUGACGGGGGACCGCACAAGCGGUGGAGCAUGUGGUUUAAUUCGAAGCAACGCGAAGAACCUUACCAGGUCUUGACAUCCCUUGACAACCCGAGAGAUCGGGCGUUCCCCGUUCGGGGGGACAGGGUGACAGGUGGUGCAUGGUUGUCGUCAGCUCGUGUCGUGAGAUGUUGGGUUAAGUCGCGCAACGAGCGCACCCUCGGCCUUAGUUUCCAGCAUUCAGUUGGGCACUAUAAGGUGACUGCCGGGUAAAAGUUGGAGGAAGGUGGGGAUGAUGUCAAAUCAUCAUGCCCCUUAUGAUCUGGGCUACACACGUGCUACAAUGGGCGGUACAAAGGGUCGCGAACCCGCGAGGGGGAGCCAAUCCCAAAAAUCCGCUGUCAGUUCGGAUUAGCAGGCUGCAACUCGCCUGCAUGAAGCCGGAAUCGAUAGUAAUCGCGGAUCAGCAUUUCGCGGGGAAUACGUUCCCGGGUAUUGCACACACCGCCCGUCACACCAUGGGAGUGGGUUCUACCAGAAGUGGCUAAAAGAACCGCAAGGAGGACGGUCACCACGGUAG
rnacentral:rRNA from 1 species